GACGGAGGAGGCAAGCGUUGUUCGGAAUCACUGGGCUUAAAGCGCGUGUAGGCGGCUCGGCAAGUGCCUUGUGAAAGCCCUCGGCUCAACCGAGGAACGGCUAGGCAUACUGCCGGGCUUGAGGCAGGUAGGGGCGACUGGAACUCUAGGUGGAGCGGUGAAAUGCGUAGAUAUCUAGAGGAACGCCUGUGGCGAAAGCGGGUCGCUGGGCCUGUUCUGACGCUGAGACGCGAAAGCGUAGGGAGCGAACGGGAUUAGAUACCCCUGUA
rnacentral:rRNA from 1 species